UCCGUGGGUUGGAAACCUCCUUGACAUUUGAAAAAAAACAAAAUUGACGGUCCGUGCAAAAAAAGCCCCGUUUAACUACGUGCCAGCAGCCGCGGUAAUCCGUAGGGCGCAGGCGUUGUCCGGAAUUUUUGGGCGUAAAGAGUUCGUAGGCGGUUUGUCGCGUCUGCUGUGAAACCCCGGGGCUUAACCCCGGGGUGGGCAGGGGGUACGGGCAGACUAGAGUGCAGUAGGGGAGACGGGAAUUCCUGGUGUAGCGGUAAAAUGCCCCAAAUAUCAGGAGAAACCCCGAUGGCGAAGGCAGGUCUCUGGGCUGUUACUGACCCUGAGGAGCAAAAGCAUGGGGAGCGAACAGGAUUAAUUCCCCC
rnacentral:rRNA from 1 species